ACGGAAGGCAGCAGUGAGGAAUAUUGGUCAAUGGACGGAAGUCUGAACCAGCCAAGUUGCGUGAAGGAAGACGGUUCUAUGGAUUGUAAACUUCUUUUGUCCGAGGGUAAAGUGAGAGAUGCGUCUCUUAUUGCAAGUAUCGGACGAAUAAGCAUCGGCUAACUCCGUGCCAGCAGCCGCGGUAAUACGGAGGAUGCGAGCGUUAUCCGGAUUUAUUGGGUUUAAAGGGUGCGUAGGCGGAUGAUUAAGUCUGUGGUGAAAGCGUGCGGCUCAACCGUACCGAGCCAUGGAAACUGGUUGUCUUGAGUGUAAACGAGGUAGGCGGAAUGUGACAUGUAGCGGUGAAAUGCUUAGAUAUGUCACAGAACUCCGAUUGCGAAGGCAGCUUACCAGCAUACAACUGACGCUGAGGCACGAAAGCGUGGGUAUCGAACAGGAUUAGAUACCCUGGUA
rnacentral:rRNA from 1 species